GUCUACAGCCAUGCCCCCCUGAACGUGCCCAAUCUCAUCUGAUCUCAGAAGCUAAGCAGAGUUGGGCCUGGUUAGUAUUUGGUUGAGAGACCACCUAGGCAUACCAGGUGCUGUAGGCA
rnacentral:rRNA from 1 species